GUGCGGCGGCCGUACUUUCGGCGGGCGGAGCGCCACGACCGGUUCGCCGGCGGCGAGAAACUCCCGGGCAAGGUGACCCUCGCUUCGGCGUGGGAGCAUACAGGCCCGGCGAGCGCAGGCCCGUCGGUGGACCGAGGAAGACCGUCGCGGUGCGGCGUCGACCGCCCGUCGUGGGCGCGCGUUCGACUCGGGGGGACUGGUUCCAGUGCCCUCGGACCGCGUGCGUCUAGCGGCGGGACGGCCCGGCGCGGCGCCUGGGGUCGGUGGCGAAACGGCCGGCAACCUGUCCGACCCGUCUUGAAACACGGACCAAGGAGUCUAACAUGUGCGCGAGUCGUUGGGCGCUACGAAACCCGAAGGCGCAAUGAAAGUGAAGGCCCGGUCUCCGGCCGGCCCAGGUGGGAUCCGGACGGUCGCGGCCGUCCGGCGCACCACCGGCCCGUCUCGUUCGCCGCGUCGAAGAGGCGGAGCAAGAGCGUACACGUUGGGACCCGAAAGAUGGUGAACUAUGCCCGAGUAGGACGAAGCCAGAGGAAACUCUGGUGGAGGUCCGCAGCGAUUCUGACGUGCAAAUCGAUCGUCAAACUUGGGUAUAGGGGCGAAAGACUAAUCGAACCAUCUAGUAGCUGGUUCCUGUCGAAGUUUCCCUCAGGA
rnacentral:rRNA from 1 species